AGUCAUUAUUGACGCUGAGGCACGAAAGUGUGGGGAUCAAACAGGAUUAGAUACCCUGGUAGUCCACACUGUAAACGAUGAUAACUCGCUGUCGGCGAUACACAGUCGGUGGCCAAGCGAAAGCAUUAAGUUAUCCACCUGGGGAGUACGACCGCAAGGUUGAAACUCAAAGGAAUUGACGGGGGCCCGCACAAGCGGAGGAACAUGUGGUUUAAUUCGAUGAUACGCGAGGAACCUUACCCGGGCUCGAACGGUGCAUGAAUAUACGAGAGAUUGUAUAGUCCUUCGGGACAUGUAUCGAGGUGCUGCAUGGUUGUCGUCAGCUCGUGCCGUGAGGUGUCGGCUUAAGUGCCAUAACGAGCGCAACCCUUGUCAUUAGUUGCCAUCAGGUCAAGCUGGGGACUUUAAUGAGACUGCCACCGUAAGGUGUGAGGAAGGGGGGGAUGACGUCAAAUCAGCACGGCCCUUAUGUCCGGGGCGACACACGUGUUACAAUGGGAGGUACAGAGGGCAGCUAUCCGGUGACGGAAUGCUAAUCUCCAAAACCUUUCUCAGUUCGGAUUGGAGUCUGCAACUCGACUCCAUGAAGGUGGAUUCGCUAGUAAUCGCGCAUCAGCCAUGGCGCGGUGAAUACGUUCCCGGGCCUUGUACACACCGCCCGUCAAGCCAUGGAAGCUUGGGGUGCCUGAAGUUCGUGACCGCAAGGAGCGACCUAAGGCAAAACAGGUAACUGGGGCUAAGUCGUAACAAGGUAGCCGUAAAGGG
rnacentral:rRNA from 1 species